GUGGGAUGCCUCAUGGCAGGAUGUGGCCACAUCAGCCGUCAGGGAGCCUCUCUCAGCCUGACACUGUAUAUAGCACAGAGCUGUGAACAGAAGGCCUGUGUUGUCUCUGCACUGAACUGCCAGACGCGCCCCCUCUUAUCGAUGAGUUCUCUACCUGGCCAGUUCUCUACCUGGACAUUGCCUUUUACUGUAUGUGCGAUGACAAAGAAAAGGGAAGAUGGAGCCUCCACGUUGAACACACCUGGCCCCCAGGUAGCCCUUUUCUAUUGGCACAGCUGCUGGCAUUUACACGUGAAAGCUUCCAGCUUGCUUAUCUAUGUUUACAGCUCGAUUUUUCAGGCUGCUCUUUGUUAGAAAAAAUAAUUUCUUGGGCUGCUUUUUGUUAGAAGGGAAGCCUUGCUGAGGACUCUUUUACCCUCACUAUCGGCCUAAAUGAUUUCUUUCUGUCUCCUGUAUCAACAUCUCAGUGGUCCUCAGUGAGGACAGGUAACCAGUGGCAUCAGGGGCUCCUUGUUCACUGGUGAAAACCCUCAAUAUUGGCACCUUUCAUUUCCCUGGGGUUGAGUGCAUGAGAAUUGCCCCAAGAAGGAAUGAAGUUUAAUUUUCUUUGGCUCCUGAAGUAGUGCGUAAGCUGAUUAUAGAAAACAAAGACCAUUAAUAUUUCUUACAUCCUAGAGUCUGGAGACUGAGGUUUAUGCCUAUUGCAUUAUUUCAGAAAAGAGAUUUGGUCGUGAACUUUGCUCCAAGACACUGCUUGGACAGGGGAGCAGAAGUGUUAGCAACCUGGACACGGUCUCCAUCUAGUGGUCAUACUAUGUAACAGCACUUGCACACAGCUCCGAGAGGUUCUGUAUUCU
rnacentral:lncRNA from 1 species